AAUGAGCAAUUGAAGUUGACACUUCAAACUCGUUCUUUUCUUCUUCGUUUUGUUUCGAUUGUUGUUGUUCUUCGACUUGUUGUUCAUAAACCCUAGAACUAGAACCUUCUUCUUCUUCAUCCAUGGCAAAGAAAUUGAAAAGAAUAAUACAAAAAAAGAAAAACCUAAUUUAAAACCCUAAUUCUGAUGAUUUGUUAAUUACAAGAGAAGAGAUAGAGAGAGAGAUUGUUUUGUUGUUCAGACUUCAGAGGUUAGAGAGUUGGAAGAGAGAGAGAGGUGAGGCAACAUGAAAUGCGGUCACGAACUCACGCACGCCCGAUACAGAAAAAAGUUAAAAGUCCAUAAAUGCCCCUUUAGGAUCUACUUACGAGUGUUUUUAUCUGCUUUCAACACGUUUAAGCUUACUAAAUUGGGCUGUUCAUGGAUUUCUUUUUUUGAGUGGCCCAACUGGAUUGUACAUGGGUUUUUUUUUUCGGGUAAAGAUCAUUCUUUAUGGUUUGUGCUAGGACUGUUGCUAUUAAAGGCCGGGUUUUUUCUUGUUCGCCACCAAAAUCUAUUCACUACCAUAAAAAAAUUUAUUUAUCAUCUGCCAAAUGAAAAUAACUCAAACAAUAACUAUCCAUCACUAAAUAAACGAUGAAAAGAGUUUAAAAAAAUUUGGUCAAAACCCCUAUUUUGUCCAGGUUUGGCCAUAACCCCCCUAAAUGUUGAAUUUUUUGACCUAAACCCCCCUCUGUUAGGCUACCCCCUUAAUUUUUCAUCCAUUAUUAAAAACAUUUUCCAUUAUACCCUUAAUUCAAAUAACCCUCCAAAAAUAACUUAGCAACCACUAACAAAAAUUAGAUAACAGAUGUUAAAAUGGUAAUGUAGUGGUGGUGGUUGUUAUAUUAUAUGGUGGUGGUGAUUUCCUUGUGUUGUUCUUCAACUGAUGGGGAGGCGAAUUGCAAGGCUUUAGUGAAGGUGGUGGUCUCAAUGGUAAGGGAGGUGGAGGGGAAGGUGAAAGAGUGGUGGUUCUGAAAGUGUAGAAUCAAUCAAUGAUUACAAACUAUCCUCGAGAUUAAGUCUUAUGUGGUAUUUCUUCAAAUGGCUAAUCUUUAUUUUGUUUUUUCACCUAAAUUUCCACAAUGGGUAUUCAAUCAAACUCUUCCCUAAAAAUUAAUUUACAUCAAAUAAAUAAACUUAGGCUUUUUCUUACACUCCUAAAUCUACAAAAUACUUUUAACUUUCGAAAUCAACAAACUAAAUGGGUAUUCAAAUUUUGAAAAGAACUACAUUGAUUUCAUCUCAAUCUCGACAGAAUGUGUGUCAUUGCAAUGUGUUUCCCUCUCUUUGGGUCUGUUUGGUAGGUUUUAAUGUAUCCAUUAACUUUUUGGUGAGGGGUUCCAGGGACUUAGGAAAUGUUUGACUCAAUUUUGACUCAAUCAUAUUUAGGGUAUUUGUACAUGUUGGAUUGACGUGAUUUUUGGUAGAUAUGAUCUCCUUACUAUAAAUAUCUACUACAUAAAAAAUCAGCUCAUUUGAAUAUGUUUAGACUCAUCAAAUGUAAUAUUAAAUUCAACAGUAAAAAUGAACGUUCCACAAUACAUUAACUUGUAAUAUGAUUUUUCUACGGUUAGAAAAUUCAAAUUAUUAUAAAUUUUGGUGAAGAUGUCGAACAUAAUGAGAAUAUUCAUCUUACCAAAAAUCAUGUAAAUCCAAUAUGUACAAGUACCCUAAAUAGGAUUGAAUCAAACAUUUCCUGAGUCCCUGGAACCCCUCCCAACUUUUUUUAUACUUAUCUAUAGUUAGUAAAUGAAGAAAAAACAGAGUACAAUUUUCUUAAUGAAAUCAUCAUCAUCAUCAUCAUCGAGUUUUAAAUAAUUUGGGAAUUUGAUUGCGCGACAGAAAAGAGGUAGAGGGUGUUAAUGAAGACCCACAAGUUCUGUUAAGUUAAGUUAAUUUUUAGGGGGUUUAUGCAAAUAGUUUUAAUUAGGGGUAAAAUAGGGAUUUUCUUUUAUAAUGGAAGGAAAAGUGGGGGCAGCCCAAUGGAAGGGGGUAUAGGCCAAAAAUUUCAACAUUAAGAGGUUAUGGCCAAACCUGGACAAAAUAUGGGGGGUUUUGACUAAAUUUCCCAAAAGUUUAUUUAAAAACGAUUUUUGAACUCCACCAUUUACAGUAUUCACCAACAUCUUUGAAACAUGUAUCGCUUCUCAAAGCAUCCAUUUCUCUAUCAUAAACAAGAAUUCAAAUAAAAUUCUAUUUAGGGACUCUGGAAUUAAGAUUUAAAGAGAAGAAAAGAGUAAAUUGACCAUUUGAAGAUGGUGUUUGAGAGAAGUUUCAUUUGAAUUAAUUAGUUUUUUGUUUUAAAUUUGUUAAAUUUCUAAUGGUUAAUCUCUUUCGUAGAGGAAAAAAAUUCUAUAACUGAGUAAAAGAGAAGAUGAUUUUCAAUCUUCUCUUGGUGUGGGUAAUCCUUUUGAAAAUAAUGAAGAAAAUCUAAGAAAAUGAACAAGAAAGAAAGUGCAGGGUGCCGAGAUAAGUGAGAAGAUGGAUCACUAUGGUUACGAAUAGUUAUUUUUUUGGCUAGGAUUAGUAUUAUUUCACCAGCAUGAAUUGAUUAUUUUUCUGGAUAGGAAAAAGGCCGGCUGUUAAUAACAACGGUCUGUGCUAGAGGCACACCCAUUUUUACUUUGGGCACACUUUCAAAUAAAAUAAUAAUAACAUUUAUGUCCGAAAAUUAAAUACACCCCAAUUUUAUCUGCAACAAUUUGUUAUAACACUUCACCUUCUAAAUUUACCAUGUCACUCAUUCAAAGAGAGGUGUGCCUUCUUACAACCACCAUUUGAAAUAUAUUUUUACAAAACUAGUACUAUCAAAUAAAGGUGGGCACGGUUCGGUUCGGUUCCAUUUUACCACUAAACUGAAACCGAACUGUGCAAGCUGGUUCGGUUCGGUUCGGUUUCAAAAACCGAAAAAUAUUAUUAAAACUGGACUGGACCGAACCGAUUUAAUUCGGUUCGGUUCGGUUCGAUUUUUGGUUUGGGCUUUAUUGUGGGCUUUUGUGUUUUGGGCUUUAAUAACUUCGGUUUUUUUUUUUGUAAUCUAAUGAAUAUUUGAAUAUAAUCUAACAUUUAUAAAAAAAAUAAUAAAAAAAUAAAACAAAACAUAUAUAACGUAUAUAUAUAAAUAAAAAAAAUUAAAAAUAUAUAUAUAUAUAUAUUAAUAUAUAUUUUUUCGGUUCGGUUCGGUUCGAACCGAAAUAUUAGAAUAGGAACUGGAACUGGAUUGUAUAUAUUCGGUUCGGCAGUUCCAGUUCGGUUUGACCGGUUCCUGGUCGUUCCAGUUCGGUUUGACCGGUUCCUGGUCAACACAAUUUUGACCGGUUUUGACCCGGUUCGGUUCCGGUUUUAAUUUAGUUUUCCGGUUUUUUGCCCACCCCUACUAUCAAAUAUCAAUAGUAUCUUGUAAAUACCCUUUUUAAUAACAAAAGAACAAUUCUGUUCUACAUGAAGGGUAGGCUGAUUAAGCCGAAAACAAUGCUUAAUAAGAGAUGAAAUGGUAAAACUAUUUAACAGAAAGCUUUGCACUUUGAAUUUCUAAAGUGGGUAAGAGCUUUUUCAUGGUGAUUAAAGUUGAGAUGAGCUCCAAUAUUAAUGAUAAGGAAAAAGUGUUGUGAUGUUUGAUUUCAGCUUUAACGUUUGAGAAUGAAGAGAGGAAGGAAGGUUUGGCAUUUUGCUGACCAAAACUGAGUUUGUCAACUUCCAAAAUGGCUAAAAUACCCCCACAAGUGCAACUAAGUUUCCCCGCCUAAAAUUUUUUUCCCUCUAAGAAGCGACACGUGUAAAGUUCUUAAAGAAUUUAAUCAGACGGCUACAAUUCAGAUCUAAAACAAAUUAACUAGGGCUAAGGCCUUGUUCACUAUCAACUCAUACCAUUUCCUUACAAUCAGUGGGUGAUUCUUUAUCGAAGAAAAAAAACCCAGUGUUUUAGGUGAUUGGUGACUCCACAAGAAGGUGGUGGUAUGUAAAAAUCUUCCUUUUGUUUUACUUUUGCAAAUUGCAGGACUUUCACCACUAGGCCAUCAAUACCACUUUAAAAACCUCUGAUCACAUUAUCCUUAGUUGCUUUAUCUAUCAUUAAAAUCGUAGGCAAAACAGUAAGCAUGCUCUUGAGUUACCCAUUUUCUCUUUGCCUUUCUUCAAGCUGUAAACUAAUUAUAAUAGAUUAUAAAAUUCCAAAACCAAAGCAGUUAACCAUUUUAAUCUUUUUACAAUUUUAUUUUAUUUUUUUUAAUAAUUCAUAAUUUUAUUGAUAAACUAAUAAUCAAAAAAAAAAUUAUCCUUUUGUAUUUUGAAUGCCUUCAUGUCUAAUAUAUUAUUGUCAUUUGUGAUACUCUUAUAUUUGUAUAGUUAAGUUUUUUUUUUUUUUUGGAGGGGGUAGGGGUUUUGCUAAUUUGAUUUGUUAAUUAAGAGAGAGAGAGAGAGAGAGAGAGAGAGAGAGAGAGAGAGAGAGAGAGAGAGAGAGAGAGAGAGAGAGAGAGAGAGAGAGAGAGAGAGAGAGAGAGAGAGAGAGGUGAGGCAACAUGAAAUGCGGUCACGAACUCACG
rnacentral:lncRNA from 1 species